rnacentral:rRNA from 1 species
UACGUAGGGUGCGAGCGUUGUCCGGAAUUAUUGGGCGUAAAGAGCUCGUAGGCGGUUUGUCGCGUCUGCUGUGAAAUCCCGAGGCUCAACCUCGGGCCUGCAGUGGGUACGGGCAGACUGGAGUGCGGUAGGGGGAGAAUGGAAUUCCUGGUGUAGCGGUGGAAUGCGCAGAUAUCAGGAGGAACACCGAUGGCGAAGGCAGUUCUCUGGGCCGUAACUGACGCUGAGGAGCGAAAGCGUGGGGAGCGAACAGG